GCCAAGGAGGAGAAGAAGGUGGCUGCGCCGGCACUCGUGCCGGUGAAGCAGGAGCUGGGAGUCAUCCGCAUCGACUCCGACGAUGACUCCGGCUUCAACUUCGACAGCUCCGUCCACAACGGCGGCGGCGACGACAGCGUGGGCGACUCGUGGAUGGAACACCUAAACGACUAGUUUUUUUAUUAUUAUUAUGUAUCGCCUUAAUUUGAUGAAUGUUUUGCGACGGGAGGCGGUUGCCUUCCCACCUUCACGUGCAGGUGCAGCAGCAUAGGCAAGGCGGGAAUUCAUCUGAACACGGAGAAUUAUGGGGAGAUGGUGCUCUUAUCAUGUCCUCAGCGUAGAUCCGGGCGGGUGGAGUAUGAAAACCCCUGGAACAAUGGAUCCUACAGUGUGGUGGCGGGUGAUGUAUGAAAACCGCUGGAACAAUGACUUCCCCGCGACCAGAAUCUCAUCCCCAAAUCUGCCCCUAUCGGUAACGGCACCCUUCCAUCCACUCCAACAGAGCCAAUUCCACCAUAAAUCUCUGUCACAGGGCUACAAGCUGAGGGCGAUCGGGAGAUGCUGAUAGAAGGAGCUAGAAUGCUGCAACAGGAGGCCUUGAGGAACCACCUAGUUCAAGCGUCGCUGGACACGAAGCGCAUCUUGGACAAGAAUGGCAAGGACAUGAGCAAGUAAAGGGAGGCUGGUCUGGAGAUCUGAUGUUUUGUGAAAGUGCUACGUGCUGCAUCGUCAAGUUGAAGCACUGUGUUGGUUGAAAAGUAAUCGUUGGCUGGUUGCCUGCACGCUGGUUGAUAACUUGCUGCUCUGAGAUUUUGGCUGGCGAUAGUGGAUAUCGUUUGUAUAUCGUUUGAACUUGCCUUUCAGUUCCUGUUCUUUUCUUUCAUGUUGCUAAGACUAUGAGUCUCUUGUUAGCCGUAGGCGGCAAGUGUGUGUCAAACUCUGUGGGGCGUGAACUCUUUUGUGUUGUUCCGUUAUCCUUGGAUAGUGGAACCCGAUCAGUUCGCUGAUCGUAAGGAAGAAAAAAAA